UGUCUAAUUAAACAAAGCAUUGCGAUGGCCGCUGGUCGGUGUUGACGCAAUGUGAUUUCUGCCCAGUGCUCUGAAUGUCAACGUGAAGAGAUUCAUCAAAGCGCGGGUAAACGGCGGGAGUAACUAUGACUCUCUUGUGGGCGGGCUGAGCGCACGCGUGGAUCACAGAGA
rnacentral:ncRNA from 1 species